UACGUAGGGUGCAAGCGUUAAUCGGAAUUACUGGGCGUAAAGCGUGCGCAGGCGGCGCCGCAAGUCAGGCGUGAAAUCCCCGAGCUCAACUUGGGAAUUGCGCUUGAAACUACGGUGCUGGAGUUUGGCAGAGGGAGGUGGAAUUCCACGUGUAGCGGUGAAAUGCGUAGAGAUGUGGAGGAACACCGAUGGCGAAGGCAGCCUCCUGGGCCAAUACUGACGCUCAUGCACGAAAGCGUGGGGAGCAAACAGG
rnacentral:rRNA from 1 species